UGGGGAAUCUUGCACAAUGGGGGCAACCCUGAUGCAGCGACGCCGCGUGAGCGAUGAAGGUUUUCGAAUCGUAAAGCUCUGUCCUAUGGGAAGAUAAUGACGGUACCAUAGGAGGAAGCCCCGGCUAACUACGUGCCAGCAGCCGCGGUAAUACGUAGGGGGCGAGCGUUGUCCGGAAUUACUGGGCGUAAAGGGUUCGCAGGCGGCAUGGCAAGUCCGAUGUAAAAGGCGAAGGCUCAACCUUCGUAAGCAUCGGAAACUGUCAAGCUUGAGUGAAGGAGAGGCAAGUGGAAUUCCUAGUGUAGCGGUGGAAUGCGUAGAUAUUAAAAAGAAUACCGGUGGCGAAGGCGACUUGCUGGGCACAAUCUGACGCUGAGGAACGAAAGCGUGGGGAGCAAACAGG
rnacentral:rRNA from 1 species